GCUUUUGGUUCAGUGGUAGAAUGCUCGCCUGCCACGCGGGCGCCCCGGGUUCGAUUACCGGCCGAUGGUUUGGGGCG
rnacentral:tRNA from 1 species